ensembl:snRNA U6 U6 spliceosomal RNA
GUACUCACUUUGGCAGCACAUAUAUUAAAAUAGGAAUGAUACAGAGAAGAUCAGCACGGCCCCUGCACAAGGGUGACAUGCAAAUUCAUGAAGCAUUCCAUAUUUUU